rnacentral:rRNA from 1 species
GACGAACGCUGGCGGCGUGCUUAACACAUGCAAGUCGAACGGAAAGGCCCUGCUUUUGUGGGGUGCUCGAGUGGCGAACGGGUGAGUAACACGUGAGUAACCUGCCCUUGACUUUGGGAUAACUUCAGGAAACUGGGGCUAAUACCGGAUAGGAGCUCCUGCUGCAUGGUGGGGGUUGGAAAGUUUCGGCGGUUGGGGAUGGACUCGCGGCUUAUCAGCUUGUUGGUGGGGUAGUGGCUUACCAAGGCUUUGACGGGUAGCCGGCCUGAGAGGGUGACCGGCCGCCUUGGGACUGAGAUACGGCCCAGACUCCUACGGGAGGCAGCAGUGGGGAAUAUUGCACAAUGGGCGGAAGCCUGAUGCAGCAACGCCGCGUGCGGGAUGACGGCCUUCGGGUUGUAAACCGCUUUCGCCUGUGACGAAGCGUGAGUGACGGUAAUGGGUAAAGAAGCACCGGCUAACUACGUG